GAGGGUAUAGUUCAGUGGUAGAGUGUAUGUUUAUCAUGCAAGAGGUCCUGGGUUCAAUCCCCAGCACCUCCA
rnacentral:tRNA from 1 species